AUUGAACGCUGGCGGCAGGCCUAACACAUGCAAGUCGAGCGAGCGGCGGACGGGUGAGUAAUGUAUGGGGCCUGCUCGAUAGAGGGGGAUAACUACUGGAAACGGUAGCUACUACCGCAUACUAUCGGAUAACCCAUAGGGGAUUAGCUAGUAGGUGAGGUAAUUGCUCACCUAGGCGACGAUCCCUCGCUGGUGUGAGUGGAGGAUCAGCCACACUGGAACUGAGACACGGCCCAGACUCCUACGGAGGCAGCAGUGGGGAAUAUUGCACAAUGGGCGCAAGCCUGAUGCAGCCAUGCCGCGUGUGUGAAGAAGGCCUUAGGGUUGUAAAGUACUUUCAGUUGGGAGGCGUUACCAACAGAAGAAGCACCGGCUAACUCCGUGCCAGCCGCCGCGGUAAUUC
rnacentral:rRNA from 1 species